CACCCACAAAACUGCCUGUCCGUCAAUCCAUCCUUCCACCCACUCAUAUAUUUCAGCGUUCAGUUCUCUUCCUCUCUCCUUUUAAAGAGGCUCUUCACUGCUCGUUUGUUUCAUUUCCUCUUUGCCCCUCCUCUUCCACAGUCGCUUUGAAAAAGCUCUCAUCAGAACACAGAAUCACAAGCCAACACGUUGCAUGCGCUGCAGAUUUACGUAUAUGCAUCUGCAGAAUUGAUCUCUAUGCAUGUUUAAAAUGCACGUUGAUGAUCCUUCAUGCACACACACACACACACACACACAUACACAUACAUACAAACAGUACUAUGAUGCUACACUGCUUUGAGCGCAUUUUAUCUCUCUCUCUUCUUGCCUGUUACUCUAGAGCUCGUUUUUUUUUUAUAAAUCCUGCUGCUUAACACUGAUGUGUGUAGGUAGUGUGAUGAGUAUGCAAGUAAUCAUUAUAGCCUGAUUUAAUUAUUUAAUUCUUGCCAACGUGUUGUGCCACAGAGAUCCCGUAGAGCAGAAAGUAAUCAUCUGUAAUGACUGCACAUAUGGAGAAGAGAAUGUGCAGGAGGGACAAAGAGAAAAGCAGAGCUCAUCUCAAGAGACCGAUAAAGCAGGAGUGGCUUCUGUUUUCUAGCCAAACCAGCAAUAUCUGCAGCGGCUGAAAUUUUACCACGCGAUCCUCAUUUAACGUCGCAUAGUUUCCAUUCUGUCCCGCGUUACUCAGAGGUGAAGUAAUGGAUACCGGUGCAUUUGAAAGUACAGAUUGAAGGAAUUGCCCAAACAGACGUUCUGUUGGAUGCGUCCCAUAUGCUAGUGUGAGAUAAAAGAGCUCUUGGUAGAAAUAGUCAUCCAGGAUACCGUGAAGAGAAAAGAGGAUGGGGUUGUUUUUCUUACUUUAAUGGAGAUUUAUGAGAACGCGCUAAUCCUCACCUGCUUCGUUUGACGAUUCUUAAAAUUGGCUGCUGUAGCUAGUCUGAAUAAUAGCUAGACGUAAUCGUCGCGUCUAAUACACUGCGCUUUGCAAGGUCAGGGUGCAUGCUUAUAUAUAUGUGUGUGUGUGUGUGUACAGUAGGCUUUGUGAAAAUGCAUCUAUAAGGGCUGUCGAAAACAUGCUUCUCCUUUCUUCUAAUUUGCCCGCUGGAUGCCUGCAACCCACAGAAAAGUUAAUUCGGUUAUCUUCCAUCAAAUCUGUUUCUCUUUCUGUCUGGUUCUCUUUGUAUGUGGUUCUGUUCUGCAGCGUUGUUGGGGAAAUGAGUCAUGGUUGCUAAGGAAAUGAAAGAAAACGCGCGUGUGUGUGUGUGUGUUGUGUAGAAGACAUUUCUGACUGGCCUUGAUGCUUAUGUGUGCUCAGAAAAUGGCAAGUUUUGUCUUCUGCUUUUGUGUGGCUGCUUUUAGUACUGAAACCUGCAUGCUGAAGGAAAAAAAAGAACAAAAACCAACCAACCAAAAGGGGGGAAAAAAAAAAUACUCAGACCAGCGUAAUGCAUGCAGGCUGAAAGCAAGCAACCAGAAACAAACGAACGAGGCAGACUUCAUCAGAAAUAGCAGGUUAGCGUGACUGGCGAGACCGGUGUAGGUUUAUUUGCAAGACGGAUUCUGAUUCAUCCUCAAGACCAGACUUUAACUGCAAGACUGCCUUUUCAGUGUUUAUUUUCUCAGUAUUUCCCCCCAGUUUGGUCAUCUGCCAGUUCCUUACAUCACCAGACGGCUCCGGUCUAUCGAGUGUGAGGUCGACAGACGCACGCGCUUCCUCCGAGACAGUCGAACAUUUCGACCCUCUUCCACAUACACGAGUUCACAGAUGAACACGAUCGGUUAGCAUCGCCGUGAUUGACAGGAAAGAGACCAAUGGCGUCGCUCCUACCCGGAGAGCACGGACAAUUUUCGCCCGUCGUGAUCCGAGCUUCUGAUUUCCCGACGAUAUUCCGAACACGUCACCGUUUGUCCGUUUGUUUAUUUAUUUAUUUAUUUAUUUACUUAUUUACUUAUUCAUUCGUUCAUUUCUUCUUUUUUUUUUUAAGCAGACUGCAGCCGAAAGAAAUUAAAUCACAGCGUCGCGCCGUCAUGUCCGUUUAUAAAUAAGCAUGUGGAAAUAUCGCUUAACAUGACAAUUUCUGAAAAGGAACUUUAAGGCCUGAAUUAUCAGGUUAGAUAAAACGUUAGCGCUAAGUGAACUAGCAUUUGGUUGCUAGACAUCAAGAUGACCCUUACGAGCAAGUUAGAUUUGCUCCAUGUCAAUUUAGCUCCGAUGUAAAUCGGACUGUUUUUUUUUUU
ensembl:lncRNA